CAGGAAAUAGCAAUCAAAUACGGUUGGAAUAAAGCAGAACAGGAGGAGAGAGUAGAGUGCUGCCCUUUAGGAGAGAACAAGAGCCAGAUAUGUGAGGUAGAGGUUAAUCUGGGAAGCAUUCUUAAAGACAUGGGUUUUAAGGCACUUCUUAAAAGAUGCAAGACUAGGGGAGAGUCUGAUGGUGGUAGAAAGGGAGCCGCCCGCGAGAAGUCCUGCAAGUGCGAGUUGACCGUACAGGUGCGAGCAGCGGACAGGAGGUCACGGGCAGAGCGGAGAGACCGAGAAGGAGCAUACCUAUGGAUUUGUGAUGAGAUAUCAGAG